CCUUGACUGUUUCUGAGAUUAAAACCCUUUCUGGGUUGUCAGCUAACAGCCACAGGGAGGGGCUGCCUCGCUGCUUUUGGGCUGAGCUAGUGUGGAAUACUCAUCAGAAGGCUGGCUGCAGGGGACAGAGUUCCUGAGCUGUUGGCUAAGAAGGAUAUGAAAACGAAGAAAGGGACAGCAGGAACGGUGCUGAGCCUGUGUGAUCAAGAAGAAGGAUGGGACAGGUGGUGAGUGGAAACAAAGGAGCCUGCCUGGCAUGGAUGCCCCAAAGCCCAACCUUAGAAGAAAUGAGGAUGAGGUGGCUUAGUAGAAAGGCCGGCCCUCCUUGCCCAGUCCUCCUUCCUCGGUUCCUUGCGUCUCCUAUGGUCACUCCUUGGCAUCCUUUCUGCACACAGCUCUCUGGAUCAGUCUGUUUUCAGUGAGCCCUGAAACCUUACCAGCUUCUCUCAAAGACCUUAUUUUUUUUUCUCAUCAGAACUUCUCAGGAAAGGCUCUGCAACCAACAAAAAAUGAGCUUCACAAAGAUAUGACAUCGUUGAAAGGAAUGUUGCAUGAUCUAACGCUGAAACUGGACAACGAGGCCUAGUCAUUCGCAGAGCAACCAACAGAUGUCACUGCAAUUCCCUCAAAGCUUAAAAUAACCCUGCGGUGUCUUUGUGGGUUUGUUGUGUCCAGAUGCCUCAGUACACCAUUUGGGAGCUAUUGAUUCUGAUAUUUCCCAAGUAUUAUGUCCUUAUUAAUAAAGAGAUGUGGAAAAAGUGUAAAGAAAGAAGUGAAAAUUAUCCAAAAUUCCACUCCCUGGGGAUAACCACGAUCAAUAUUAAGGCAAUAGGCAAUAGAUUCAACAUAAAUUUGGGGAGGACACAGUUCAAUCCACAGAACAACACAAAUCAAAAUGAGAUCUUUAGUACGUGACACCUGCAGAUUAUGUAUCCCCUAGUGGUAUGGAAAGUGUGGACCUAGAGCUACAUUUAAAAGUGAUUAGAUAAUAAAAUAGGAGGAGCCACUGAAAUUAAAGCAUGGUCUCUAGACAUCAAGGAAUUUAAAAUCUAUUUGGGAAAACAAUAUAAAAAUCUGAAAGUUUGAAGAAAGAUUUAAGGACAAUU